rnacentral:rRNA from 1 species
CACACGCCGCCCACGGCGCUGCGUUCCCCGUUCCCCUCUCUCUUCUCCUCCCUCCUCCACAACUAACCAAGCACGACGAGCGACUGUGCAAGAGUCUUUUCACCAAAGCACCAACACCCUUUCCUUGACCGUGGCGCCUGGAUCGAGCACGGAUCCGACCCCCAAUCUGCAGCAGCUUUCUUCUGCAGCAUCUUGACGAUCCGAUUUCUCCGGCAGUCUCGCCUGCGACCGAUGCUUCACGUCUGCGUAUGGGCUUGUGGUGGCCGGGCCUGAGCGCGCGGGAGCUGGUUGGGCUCUCCGCGUUGAUCUGCACCAGGGCUCUCCGGGCUCCGGAUCGGCGUGGUCGUGGCCAGCCCUCCGACGAUGCCCUGCUGCGGGGGUUCGGGACCAGAUCUCGCCGGUGGGCGCGGGAGCUCGGCUUGAGGUUGUGGUGGCUGCCUCGGUAAGGGAAGGGGAGGUCAGAUGGCAUGCCAAACAGAUGCGUUGGCUCUUUGGCGAGGAGCAGGCUGCAUGCAUGCGUGAUCGAACUCAAGCUUGCAGCACGGCUCUUUUACCCUUCCUCACCCGAAGCGCGCGGUCUUCUUUGGUGGUUUCUAGAAGCAGUACACGAUCUUGCAUCAUGGCAUUUUCAUUUUAAAUUUUGCUUCAUCUCAACAUGCGAACACUAAAAGUAGCUUAAUGAAAUGGAUACAUCAUAAUCAAGCUUAAUUCCAAGAGCCCAGAUUACACAGUUUGUCUCCGCUCUACAUGCAUUUGGAUGUAGAAAUUGGAACCGCUGAACCCCACACCUAUUUGUGUUGUUUUAUGCUUUCGAGUAAAAUGCACCUGUGGUCAUUAUAUUUUAC